rnacentral:rRNA from 1 species
UACGGAGGGUGCAAGCGUUAUCCGGAUUUACUGGGUUUAAAGGGUGCGUAGGUGGGCAGGUAAGUCAGUGGUGAAAUCUCCGGGCUUAACCUGGGAAUGGCAUUGGAAACUGGCGGGCUUGAGUGUGGCAGAGGGGGGUGGAAUUCCGCGUGUAGCAGUGAAAUGCGUAGAGAUGCGGAGGAACACCGAUGACGAAGGCAGCCCCCUGGGCUGACACUGACGCUCAGGCACGAAAGCGUGGGGAGCAAACAGG